rnacentral:rRNA from 1 species
UACGUAGGGCGCAAGCGUUGUCCGGAAUUACUGGGCGUAAAGCGCACGUAGGCGGCUUUGUAAGUUAGAGGUGAAAGCCCGGGGCUCAACCCCGGAAUUGCCUUUAAGACUGCAUCGCUAGAAUUGUGGAGAGGUAAGUGGAAUUCCGAGUGUAGAGGUGAAAUUCGUAGAUAUUCGGAAGAACACCAGUGGCGAAGGCGACUUACUGGACACAUAUUGACGCUGAGGUGCGAAAGCGUGGGGAGCAAACAGG